AGCAGGGAUCAUGCCUCGUGGAGAGCCAGACUUAGGAUCUGGUUCCGCAAGGAUUAGGGGUUCGAGUCCCCUCCCUGGUA
rnacentral:tRNA from 1 species